UUUUUUUACAGAAAAUCUCCGCGCUGAAUUAAAUUUAGCUGGCUGCUGUCAACCGCCGUGUCAUGUGCAAGCGAAGAGGUCGAUGGCUCGUGGGGACCAAGAAUGUCACUGGACCAAGGGGCCUGUCUAAGCUGUCUUGGAUUUGACGGAGAUUGACUUUUAAAUGGCCUGAAAGUGCUGAUCUGUGGUUCGGGAAAAAUCGAGCAUGGAUUGCUUAGGCACGUCUCGCGCACCGGAGAGCAUUUAGAUGGGAGACUGACCGAUUUCACUAGUUUACUACAGCCAAUAACAGCAUGCGCCCCAGACGAACAUCAUUAAUUAUUAACGCGAGCUCACCUAAUUCCUCCACUUUCUACUUUCAUGUGCACUCCAGAAAGCCUGUUUAAAGUGAAUUAUUCUGUUGCCGUUUUCCCAAAACACACCCUAUAAAUGAAGAAGGAAUGUGCUUCACUCACAAGACAUUAAGGGGCCUUCUGUAGCAUUAACAAGACAUUGAUCAGUGCUCUAUAAGAAAGCCCCAAGCAAAAUGCAUUUAAAGACCAGGAUGCCUCCCAAUUUACCAUAAGAGCUCUUUCGUCGUUUCCAGGAUCAUAAUGGCUUCCUUGACUUUCAUUGGCACAACUCUGAUCUGAUCCUGAUGUUGACGAACACCAAUAACAGACUCCAAACGCGAUCAGAAACCUAGAAAAGAUAAUGAAAC